rnacentral:rRNA from 1 species
GGUGAACGCUGGCGGCGUGCCUAAGACAUGCAAGUCGAGCGGGGCAGGUUUAUACCUGUUCAGCGGCGGACGGUUGAGUAACGCGUGGGUGACCUACCCGGAAGAGGCGGACAACCUGGGGAAACCCAGACUCAUCCGCCAUGUGGUCCUGUCCUGUGGGGCAGGACUAAAGGGUGGAUAGCCCGCUUCCGGAUGGGCUCGCGUCCCAUCAGGUAGUUGGUGGGGUAAGGGCCCACCAAGGCGACGACGGGUACCGAGUCGGAGAGGAUGGCCGGCCACAGGGGCACUGAGACACGGGGCGAACUCCUACGGGAGGCAGCAGUUAGGAAUCGUCCGCAAUGGACGGAAGUCGGACGGAGCGACGCCGAGUGGAGGAGGAAGGACGUCGGGGUGUAAACUCCUGAACUGGGGACGAAAGGCCGGUGUAGGGGGAUGACGGUACCCAGGUAAUAGCGCCGGCAAACUCCGU